rnacentral:rRNA from 1 species
CGCCUACGGGAGGCUGCAGUGGGGAAUAUUGGACAAUGGGCGAAAGCCUGAUCCAGCCAUGCCGCGUGAGUGACGAAGGCCUUAGGGUUGUAAAGCUCUUUUGGCGGGGACGAUAAUGACGGUACCCGCAGAAUAAGCCCCGGCUAACUUCGUGCCAGCAGCCGCGGUAAUACGAAGGGGGCUAGCGUUGUUCGGAAUCACUGGGCGUAAAGCGCACGUAGGCGGAUUUGUUAGUCAGGGGUGAAAUCCCGGGGCUCAACCUCGGAACUGCCUUUGAUACUGCAAAUCUCGAGUCCGGAAGAGGUGAGUGGAAUUCCUAGUGUAGAGGUGAAAUUCGUAGAUAUUAGGAAGAACACCAGUGGCGAAGGCGGCUCACUGGUCCGGUACUGACGCUGAGGUGCGAAAGCGUGGGGAGCAAACAGGAUUAGAUACCCCUGUAGUC